CACCAGGGCUUCCUGCAGCCUCUCUAUCAGUUUUUGCAUUGUCUCGCUGUGGGAAGGUGGGAAAUAGGCUAGCAGGACCUGCAGCAGGCUACAGCCCUGGUGUGGCCCUGGCUGGACUGGAGGAAGCUUGGCUGCCAAUCACCCCUCUCUUUAAGCUGUGCUACCCUUGUUCAAUAGAGAGUUGCUCUAGUGAACCUUUCCAGAAUGGCAGUAACCAAAACAUCUGCAUGAUGCUGGCAGAGGUGAUACGGAAUCCACACACUAUUGGUGACCCAACCAUUACAUCUCCAUUACUGGAAUGGCAACUGCUGUCUAUAUCAGGAGAGAUUCUCUGCGUAGAUUGACAACAACCAUGUGAAAGGAUGGACUCCUGCCCUCAACUGGCUGGGGAGUUGUUCCAACACAAGGAUUUACUGAUCUUCAGACUGCUACCAAAGUCUUGUCGCCAGGCCUGUUUCUGAUAUCCUGUGAACAAGAUAUCAGAACAAGAAAAUCUUGCAUCAGCUGAGGUGGUUCAGUGAUUUGGGAUUUGAGAUGCAAAAUCUUACCGCCCAACUUCAGUAACUGAGGAGGUGUUUCUAAUAAUCUGAGGUCUCUGCCAUGAGCUGGGUUCACUUGUAUGGGAUUUCUCAGUCUUUUUUCCCCUGCAUAUUUUAUGAAGGAUGAUGAAUUCCUUUGGGACCACUUAACAAACUCCAGAAAAGACCCAAGAUUAUUUCAAGGAGAAAAUCAUCAGAUCGAUUUCACUUUGCUAAAACCCCCACCAUUUUAAUUUCAAUGUAAUUUAUUUGUUUU